ACCAGCUUUUUAAAUUUGGUCAGGUUUAGAAAUUUGCAAAACGUCCAGACAGACAUCCAAACCGAUAAACCGACUGACGCACUGUGGUUACAAAAGGGUAGAAAAUAAAAUUCUACCCAAUUGCAAAUGAUAAUUUGAAUUUAGCGUGGACACGAAGUGGAAAAUAUAAGAUGAGAGAAAACAGUUUCAUAGGCACAUUAUGCACCAGCAUGUUGCAAGGAUACCGCAUUUAUUUCCGUUUGUAAAUUAAAAUGGCUUCCCGAAAUGUUAAUUGCAAUUGAUAAAGAUUAAAGUUUAAAUUUACCCAAGUGUUCACAUGGAAACAUAAGUCAUUAGCUGCAUAAUGACUCAUUUAAUGUCGCCAACAAAAGGUCCUCAUUUAUAGCUGCCAAAUUUCGUUUGGUUCCACUUUGUUGCGAUAAAUCAAUCCAUGCAGAAUCCAUUUUUGAAGAGUCAAAAGAUCAGUAUCACUGUACUAUGCUAAUAUACAAACUAAGUGAUCGACAAUGUGACGAUGUCAAAAAUAUAAACUGAAGAGUAAAGGUGCGUGCAUAUUGUCAAUAUCAUCACAACAGAUCAACUGAAAUGCAUGCCUUUUCAUAUGUUAGCGCUGUAUAUAAAACUGGCUUGUUCUUUCAAAUUCCCCUUUGAGCUUUUUUCAUGGAUAAAUACUGACAAUUUAUGAAUUAAAGUUUCACUAGACAAAUAAUUAGGGAUUUAUUAUAGAACAGAGGCAGCCGUAUCUUGUUAUUGUAUAACUUAUUGUACUUUGACUCGGAUCCAUAGACCAUACAUCGGUAAACAUCGCGAUGAUGAUUAAUAAUGGCAUUUGCUUUUGUAAAUAAAAUGUCUUCCCACAAAGCAGCUGGUUAUAGAAUGCAAGAAAUAUAGAAAUUUGCAAAAUAUUAGUCAGUGUUGGGCUGGUAAGCCUGUUGGAAAAUGUUGAAAUGUCCAAGAAAUAGAUUUCAGGACUUCGAAAUACUGAAUAAGAUACAGCCUGAAAGUCACACUGACAUGAGCUCGGCUGUUGAAUUUACUAUAUGGAUAAAUUGUUGAACACGUC